rfam:Gemmatimonas aurantiaca T-27 DNA, complete genome.
GGGGGCGUAGCUCAGUUGGGAGAGCGCUUGAAUGGCAUUCAAGAGGUCAGGGGUUCGAUUCCCCUCGCCUCCA